GAUUAUAUAAACGAACAGGCUGUGGUGGUUGUUUGGUGAUAUUCCUUAAGUUGAAUGGCCCUGGACAGAUUUGCAAUGUUUUCCUGGCUGAGGAUUCAGUAUUAGGCAGCUGAUCUAACGUGUCGCCUGACCUUUGUGUGAUGAAGCAGCUAAACCAAACUUUCUUUUUCCUCUUGUUCUGGAGUUCUGGUAUGUGGUGUAAAAAGCGUCUGCAUUUGGCCAUAAUUUAGCGAUGAAAGAAAGCUUGUCACUGCGAAAACUGGCACGUGUAGUACCUUAUUAUUUUCAUUUGUUCUGCAAAUUCUUUGGCUCUA